rnacentral:rRNA from 1 species
AGUAGUUUGAUCAGUGGCUCAGACACGCUGGCGGCACGCUUAACACAUGCAAGUCGAACGGAGUUAUCGAGAGCUUGCUUUUGAUAACCUAGUGGCGGACGGGUGAGUAACACGUGAGCAAUCUGCCCUUAAGAGGGGGAUACCAGUUAGAAAUGACUGUUAAUACCGCAUAAGAUAGUAGUAUCGCAUGAUACAGCUAUAAAAGAUUUAUCGCUUAAGGAUGAGCUCGCGUCUGAUUAGCUGGUUGGUGAGGUAACGGCUCACCAAGGCAACGAUCAGUAGCCGGACUGAGAGGUUGGACGGCCACAUUGGGACUGAGACACGGCCCAGACUCC